AAUCAAUGAGCUUGAAUAAAAGCGUAUGUUUUGAAAGCAUAAGAUAAAAACAAAUUUUAUUGAUUU
rnacentral:tRNA from 1 species